CAGCAACAUCUCCGGAAAAUUGAGCAUUCGCAGACUUUUUGUGCAUACCAUUGGCAACAGCAGCUCUCAUAGCUAUACCAAAGUACAUGUAUACAACUUCGUGUGCCAAUGUUGGAGACAAAUACAUACCGGCUAGGAAGAAAGACUGUACUGUUUCCAACGACGAUUCACUGAUGACUUUGGGAAAAAGAAGUUUGGCGUUUUGGUAAAACUGAGAGCCAGGAUAAGUCCAACGAUCGUGAUUUUCAUCAGAAAGGAACUCUGGAUGGCGAAUGUAGGAGAAUAGACUGCCCAUGGCCAUGCUCAGAAGAAGCAUACACACAAAACCACCAUCUUUUGAUUGAAAGGAAGUUGGAUCAUCGAAAAGAUGAUGGACUUUUGCAGCAAACAGCUUGGUAUUAUAAUAAAAAUGGUUGUUGUCACUAGAAAAUUGCCAAAAUGUCAUAAGUAAAUAAAAAGUGAUAUCCUUUGGGGGUAAUGCAUGGAUUAAAGAGGCGACAGUAUUAUCGGCGGGAUCUAAAAUAUCUUCAAAUGUUUUAUUUCCUUUCUAUUGAGAAAAACGGGUUAGUAAAGAACAGUAAAAUCGAUGAUGCCCCACAACAUAGCAAGGGUAUGAAAUGAAGUAGAUGAAUCCAUCAAUACAUACGUUAGUGAGUUUAUGCUGCACCUGAAAUUCCCUGCCCUGGCAAAUGAUCUCGUGCACGCGAGCGACGAAGCUUUCGUUAGAGCCGGCAUCUUCGUAAUAUGUCUGUGUCUCAUUCAAAGUCACUUGUUGAUAGCUUCCAAGUUCGAUGUCGGUAAGUACUUUAUCAGGAUAGGUUUGAAGGCUUUCACUAAGCUCCGCAAUCUUUGCUUCCAAGCUGGGCAAAUCCAAGCUCAUACUUGGCAUGAGUUUAGAAAGGAUGGUCUCCAUAUGACUGAGUCUCUGAAGAUUGAGAGAAAUUUCGUCUUUAUUCAUAAGCAAUCU